CCUACGGGGGGCAGCAGUAGGGAAUAUUGGGCAAUGGGCGCAAGCCUGACCCAGCCAUGCCGCGUGGAUGAUGAAGGCCUUCGGGUCGUAAAAUCCUUUUCUGAGAGAAGAACCCUUGAGAGAGGAAAUGCUCUUGAACUGACGGUAUCUCAGGAAUAAGCAACGGCUAACUCCGUGCCAGCAGCCGCGGUAAUACGGAGGUUGCAAGCGUUAUUCGGAUUAACUGGGCGUAAAGGGGGCGCAGGCGGCUUGAUCAGUCUGAAGUGAAAUCCCGGGGCUUAACCUCGGAACUGCUUUGGAUACUGUCAAGCUUGAGUACGUAAGAGGAGAGUGGAAUUCCAGGUGUAGCGGUGAAAUGCGUAGAUAUCUGGAGGAACACCCGUGGCGAAAGCGGCUCUCUGGCACGUUACUGACGCUCAGGCCCGAAAGCAUGGGGAGCAAACGGGAUUAGAUACCCCGGUAGUC
rnacentral:rRNA from 1 species